AGGUUUCUAUACUUUCAGAGAUCAUUUCUGUAGUAUGUUUCUAGAGAAGUUUCUCUGAUGGUGUAGAGUACCGGAAACCACGAGGAGUCAGGGAAGAAAAAAAAAAACAACAGGUUUCUUGCAACGUGGU
rnacentral:snoRNA from 1 species